CAGGCUUCCCAAGGCUUACAGCUGGGGGCUGUGCAGGGAAGGCAAGUUCUUAUUCAUGCGAGUCUCGGUGAACUCUAAUUUUUAAAAAAUGGAUUCGGGAACACACAUCCUGUCCAGAGGAAAGAGGAUAAAGCAAGGGUGUUAGAGGGGGGAUAAAGGGGGUCUUUCCUACCCUUUCCCCCUGCAUUCCAUGCCCCCACAGCCUAUUAUCUAUGCCCCUGGGAUUGACCAGCUGCUACUAGAUCUGUCUUUGCUGCUGAUGCUGAGUAAGUGGGACUCUGGUCAGACUACACACCCCUGACGAUAGACAAAUGAAAGAAAGCCUGGGGAGGUGAACCACUUUGCUCAAGCUCAUACAGCUAGUUAAGAGCCGGAAGUCCUGCCACCUUCCUCAGACUGCGACGUCUCCAAGCAGGGCUCCUGUACCUUCCAACACUUGGGGUAUUUUCUGCCAUGGCCAUCAGCUCUGCCUCAUACAGUGUCUUGUUUCGGCUUCUAACUACUGUGGACCUAGACAUCACAUCUCCUUGGACAGAAACCGAUGUUCACCGAAGCCAGAGACUGUAGUGAUGGUGCGACUUUGUCUGCCUUGCUCACUCACCACUAUAUUUCAGCACUUUGCAUGGCACCUGGCCUAGAGCUGGUGCUCUAGAAUGAAUCAAAGAGGAGCAAACCCACGAUGGAUGUGUGAGUAAAAAGCAAGGAAGUUCUCAUCAGAAAACUCAGUCCAGCGCCCUGUGCAGUAAGUGCUUGAUAAAAGCAAGCUGACCUUGACCACGGGAUGAGACACGGGAGGAAGAGGAUGAUGCUAACCAUACUAAGAGGGUGGCGGGGAUCUCCAGGGAAGCUGGUUUGGGUAGUUAGCCUACACCAUGGUUAUAUACUAGUGUGGGAGUGAGGGCUGCACUCAGCCUCUGGGUUCCUCAAUUCUAUUCCUGGC